UACGGAGGGUGCAAGCGUUGUCCGGAAUCACUGGGCGUAAAGGGCGCGUAGGCGGCCCGGUAAGUAGGGGGGUGAAAAUCCUGCGGCUUAACCGCAGGGCUGCCUUCUAAACUGUCGGGCUCGAGCACGGUAGAGGCAGAUGGAAUUCCCGGUGUAGCGGUGGAAUGCGUAGAGAUCGGGAAGAACAUCAGUGGCGAAGGCGGUCUGCUGGGGCCGUUGCUGACGCUGAGGCGCGACAGCGUGGGGGAGCAAACAGG
rnacentral:rRNA from 1 species